rnacentral:lncRNA from 1 species
CAUGCUACUAGAAGAAAUUCGGGAAGCCUGCUAAGAGGGUUGAUACGAUCUGCCUCAACCUUCAAGCUAAGAUGCUCCAUUAGCAUCAAAUUACUUUUCACCAAUUUUACUUCCAUUAUAGUUCACACCAAAAUCAAGAGACGAGAGUAAUUCCAAAAUGUAAGAGAACCACAGUUAAGAAUGUUGCUUUGUGAAUUAUUUUUUAAUCUUUUUUUGACCGAAUGAAAGGAGUUCAUUAAUAGGAUGUGCGUUUGUUUUUUCUUUAGGUGUCCUGGCUUUGCCCCA